rnacentral:rRNA from 1 species
AUGAGCGCUUCUACUGGCGCCAUGAACUCCCUCCUGGGAAAGCUGGCCACCCUCAUGGGGGAGGAGUUUGCCAAGCUUAAAAACCUACGCAAGCAAGUGAAGUUCAUCAGGGAUGAGCUCGCUGGCAUGGAGGGCACUCUCGAGAUGCUCGGGGAUGUGGACAAGCUAGACCCCCAGACCAAGACCUGGAGGGACACACUAAGGGAGAUGUCUUAUGACAUUGAAGACAUCAUCGAUGACUUUAUGCAUCACAUUGGGAAGAAAAGUGAAUCCGAAAACCAUGGGUUUGCCAAGAAGACUGUUCGGCUCCUAAAAAAGUUGAGUCGCCAUCAGAUUGCCGGUCGGAUCAAGGAGAUCAAGGCACUUGUGCUUGAAAUAAGUGCGCGGCGCCAACGGUACAAGCUUGAUAUUCCCCCAUCAAGAACUAUGGAAAUUGACCCACGAGUUUCCCUACUCUAUGAAAAUGCAGCCAAUCUUGUUGGUGUGGAAGGGCCAGCGGAGGAGCUUGAGGACUUGCUAAAAGAUGAGGAUGAGAAAUUCAAGGUGGUGUCCAUUGUGGGAUUUGGAGGUCUAGGCAAAACAACACUUGCCAAUGUGGUAUAUGGUAAGCUCAAGAAUGGAUUUCUGCGCUGUGCUUUUGUGCUAGUCUCUCAGAAGCCAGACAUCACAAAACUUCUCCAUGCUUUAAUGUCCCAACUUGGGUGUGCACCAUCUUCUCAUCAUCGUGAGUUAAAUGUCCUUCUCGACCAACUUAGGGAACAUCUACAGAAUAAGAGGUACUUGAUAAUAAUUGAUGAUAUAUGGGAUGUAUCAGCCUGGGAAUUUAUUAAGUAUGCUUUCCCAGAAAAUUAUCUUGGCAGUAGAGUAAUAGUAACUACAAGAAGUCAAGAAGUUGCUACGGCGUGUUGCUCUCCUCACUGUGAUUACAUUUUACAAAUGAAACCCCUUGGCAACGAAGAUUCAAGAAGGCUAUUUUUUGGCAGGAUAUUUGGCUCUGAACACGCUUGCCCUGACCAGCUCAGAGAUGUUUUGGUUGAAAUUCUCAAAAAAUGUGGUGGUUUGCCUCUUGCUAUUAUUAGCAUAGCAGGCCUGCUAGCGAGUGAAGGUCCCAACAGAGAGGAGUGGGAACAUGUACGGAAAUCUUUGGGCUCAAUUUAUGGGACAAAACUCACACUGGAUGGGAUGAGACAAAUCUUAAAUCUCAGCUACAAAGACCUUCCAUGUCAUCUGAAGACUUGCUUGCUAUAUCUUGGUAUGUACCCGGAGGACUGCACAAUACCGAGGUCUACUCUGGAACGCCAAUGGAUGGCAGAAGGUUUUGUUAGUAAAGAAAAUGGACAAGAUAUGGAGAAAAUUGCAAAUAACUAUUUCAAUGAGCUUGCCAAUAGGAGCCUUGUUCAACCCGUGCAUUUUGACGACAGUGGGUUGGUGAUAACAUGCAAAGUACAUGAUAUGAUGCUCGAUCUUAUCCUGCUGAAGUGUGUAGAAGAGAAUUUUCUCACUGUA